GGCCCCGUAGCUCAGCUGGAUAGAGCGCGAACCUUCUAAGUUCGAUGUCGCAGGUUCAAAUCCUGCCGGGGUCGCCA
rnacentral:tRNA from 1 species